UUUGAAUCUAAAUGCAGUUUUGACAAAUCAUACAAUAUUUUUAUAAUAUAUAACAAGGGUACUUGUUUUUCAUUUCUCUGAUCUGGAAUGUAAACAGGACAAUUUAGGACUAUNUAUCUAAGGUACAUGCAUAAAAUGGUUUAAAAAUUUCUAACUAAUAGACUAAAGAUCUUUAAAAAAAUAUAUUUACAAAACAGAAAAGAAUUCCAGUAAGAAAGAAAAACAUACCNGUUUCUAUUACAAAAAAUCACACGAAAAAAAUGAUCUCAUUUUACAUNAAAAUAAAUCAUUCACAUUCACAUAAUANAUUCUUAUUAGAGUAAAUAUCAACAUUAAAAUAAAUCAUUCACAUUCAUAUAUUACAUUCUAACGAGUAAAUAUUUAUUUUGCGAUCAGAGUAAAUAUUCACAUAAUCCAAAUCACGAGAAAAAAUAAUCUCAAUUUACUGUGGANAGUCCAUAGAAAAGAACAAAAUGUAGAAAGGAAAAUACAUUUAUUUUUAAAAUAACUAUGAAUUUCAAACAGGAAUAACUACUAAAGCAAUAAUCAUUCAUAAUAAUUAUAUAAGAAUUAAAGGACCAUGUUAACAAAUAUCUAAUUCAAUACAAGAAUAAAACUGAAUUAAAUAUACAUCCAUAUUCCUAGAAAAUAUCUGACAAUCACAUCCAUAAUUGGAAAUAGACCGUUGAUACUUGGACAUAUCCUAAUCCAAAAUACCUCCAAAGACUCUGACCUAAGUAGUCAAAACAACAAAGAGGGAAAAAUAUAGCUACUCUAUAACAAGAGUAUAUCAACACAAUNUACAUAAUCCAAAUGACAACUAAGUAAGAAGUGGAACGACAUAGAAGAAAUUAAGUUUUCAUUAGCUGCUUCUUUUUCAAGUUGAACUGCCAGCUUCAUGCCCAUAGUAGGCUUAAACAAACCCCACUAAAAAAGGAAUGUUGUUAACAAAUGAUACCAAGUUAAAACUGGAUAUACUGGUAGAUCAUAUAGGUAACUUCAGAGUUUCAACACCAGAAACUAAAGCCAUAAAUUUGAAACAAUUCCUGGUACAGAAACAAUAAGAAAAUCAGAUACUGCAAGCCCAAGAUGAUCUCAUAAAACCAAGGUAGGCCUAAAUAAGUUAAGAUCGGUCCAUCACAUGCUAUCAUAAGCCCUUCUAAACUCUUCCAUGAUUACAACAACCUCGCGUGUGCUCAAAAGGGAUUGCUAGGANNNNNN
rnacentral:lncRNA from 1 species